GACGAACGCUGGCGGCGUGCUUAACACAUGCAAGUCGAACGGUAAGGCCCUUCGGGGUACACGAGUGGCGAACGGGUGAGUAACACGUGGGUGAUCUGCCCUGCACUUUGGGAUGAGCCUGGGAAACUGGGUCUAAUACCGAAUAUACCCUGCUGGUCGCAUGGCCUGGUGGGGGAAAGCUUUUGCGGUGUGGGAUGGGCCCGCGGCCUAUCAGCUUGUUGGUGGGGUGAUGGCCUACCAAGGCGACGACGGGUAGCCGGCCUGAGAGGGUGACCGGCCACACUGGGACUGAGAUACGGCCCAGACUCCUACGGGAGGCAGCAGUGGGGAAUAUUGCACAAUGGGCGCAAGCCUGAUGCAGCGACGCCGCGUGAGGGAUGACGGCCUUCGGGUUGUAAACCUCUUUCAAUAGGGACGAAGCGUAAGUGACGGUACCUAUAGAAGAAGGACCGGCCAACUACGUGCCAGCCGCCGCCGUAA
rnacentral:rRNA from 1 species